rnacentral:rRNA from 1 species
UACGUAGGCAGCAAGCGUUGUUCGGAGUUCCUGGGCGUAAAGAGUGUGUAGGCGGUUCUCUAAGUUCGGUGUGAAAUCUCCCGGCUCAACUGGGAGGGUGCGCCGAAAACUGGAGGGCUUGAGUAUGGGAGAGGAAAGCGGAAUUCCUGGUGUAGCGGUGAAAUGCGUAGAUAUCAGGAGGAACACCUGCGGUGUAGACAGCUUUCUAGACCAUCACUGACGCUGAGACACGAAAGCGUGGGUAGCAAACAGG